UCCCACAAUGCAGCGGGGCCAACAGCCGCGGGCCGGGCGGCGUCGCGCCCGCGGGCCCGGACGCCUGAGCCGCGCCGCCCCAGGAGUACUGUUUUUUGUUUGUUUUUAACAGAUGAGGUUGGUCUAACACGUACAACUAACUUUAUUUCAGCUAAGUCACUGUGAAAACGUAUUCACAGGUCCCAGGAACAGUUGGGGACGAAAGACUGGCCAGGAUAGAGACGCCCCAGAGAGGCUGGGAGGGGACGCCUCCUCACCAGCCCACACGGAGUCCCUUUCUCCGGCCUGGCCUGGAGGGCUGGAGUCUUUGAGAUGCGAGCUAGGUCAGUCAGACCCUCGCCGCAAGGGAGAAAGACCCAACCCCCUGGCUUGGCCCGGGGGCUCCUGGAGGGCGGCAGACACGCUGUCCCCGUGUCCUCCGGGCGGGGGGGCGUCUCCGCCGCCUCAGCCCCGUCGCCCCUGCAGGUGAAUGCCAGGCUCGCUGGGGCGCGUUUUCAGGCCACAUCUGCCCAGAAGAGCUCUACGCUCUUCCCUUGGGACCGGCUCAGCCAUCCUAGGGCAGAGCUGGGGCCCGGGAUUGGGGAAGGGGGCGAAGGGAAGCAGCCGGGGGGCUUGGACUAUGAGAAGUGGAAGAUGUGAGGCUAUCAGUGAAAAUAUUGUCUUCCACAUGGCCUUAUAAUUCUAAUUGGCCUCUGGUUCUUGCUAGUUAUAAUUUCAUAGUUAUUUCUACAAAUUAAGAAAAGAUGUGGAUGAAAUAGGUUAAUGGGCUAAACUGGAUCCCUCAUGUUAACAACAUCAUUAAUUUUUUUUUUCUUUUCUUUUUUUUUGACAGAGAAAGAGAAACAGACAGACAGACAGGUCUUCCUUCUGUUGGUUCACCCCCCAAAUAGCCACUGCGGCCGGCACUGCACCCACCAGAAGCCAGGAGCCAGGUGCUUCCUCCUGGUCUCCCAUGUGGGUGCAGGGCCCAAGCACUUGGGCCAUCCUCCACUGCCUUCCCGGGAAACAGCAGAGAGCUGGGCUGGAAGACUAGAACCCCGGGUACCGGCACCGCAGGCAGAGGAUUAGCCAACACUCGCUCCAGGCUAUGUGCACCCAAAAAAAGUGGUUCCUGUCUUCAGCCUGACCUAGCCCCAGCUGCUGUGGCCAUUUGGGGAGUAGAUGGAAGAGAUUCUCUCUGUCCCUUUCCCUCUCUCUGCCUCUUUGUCUGUAACUAUGCCUUUCAAAUAAAUGAAUACAUCUUUAAAAAAUGAGAAUAAAGAUUUAUCAUUUUGAUUCUCAUGUGCUUACAAGGGGCAAAAUUAGAACCAAUGCCUAGAAAAUACAGGGAAAGAGAUGUACAUCAAAUAAGGAAGAACUUUAAAAAUCAUCAGAACUGGGGGCUGGCACUGAGGUACAGUAGGUUAAAGUCCUGGUCUGAAGCACUGGCAUCCCAUAUGGGUGCCGGUUCUGGUCCCAGCUGCUCCUGUUCCAAUCCAGCUCUCUUCUAUGGCCUGGGAAAUCAGUGGAAAAUGGCCCAAGUCCUUGGGCCCCUGCACCCAUGUGGGAGACAUGGAAGAAGCUCCUGGCUCCUGGUUUCAGAUGCGGCCAUCUGGGGAGUGAACCAGCAGGUGGAAGACCUCUCUCUCUGUCUCUACCUCUCUCUGUAGCUCUUUCAAAUUAAUAAAAAAAUUAAUUAAAAAAUCUUUAAAAAAUAAAAUAAAAAUAAUCAGAACCAUCCAAUGAUUGAGUGGGUUGUCUCAAAAAGUAGGUUGGUAGGAGGAAAAUAGAUAUUUUGGGUGAUCAGCAUUAUGGCACAGCAGAUUAAGCUGCCGCUUGCCACACCAGCAUCCCAUAUUGGAGCUCCUGUUCAAGUCCUAGCUACUCCACUUCCAAUAUGGCUCCCUGCUAAUGUGCCUCUGAGGCAGCAGAUGAUCCAAGUAUGUGGGCCCCUGGACCAGGAUAGAGUUCCUGGCUCCUGGCUUUGACCUCUCCCAGACCUGGUUAUUGCAGACAUUGGGAAGUGAAUCACAGAUAGAAGAUCUGUGUCUCUCUCUCUUCAUCACUCUGCUUUUCAAAUAAAUCAAUAAAUCUGUAAAUAUAUAUAGUCAAAGAUUUAUACACACCCUAUAUAUAGGAUAGACUGACUACUAUAAAGAUGACAAUUCACAAUAAAUUAAUCUAUAAAUGUAACAAUUUAUUAGUUUCAUUUUAUUUGAAAGACAAAUAUCCCCCAACAGUGGGGCUGUGCCAAGCCAGAGUCAGGAGCCCAGAAUUCAAUCCAGGUGUUUAACAUGGGUAGCAGGGAUUCAAGUACAUAGACCAUCACCUGCUGCCUUCCAGGAUGCGUUAUCAGCAAGAAGCUGGGUUAGGAGUGGAGUAGCUCAGACUUGAAUCAGACAGUCCAAUAUGGAAUGUGUGCAUCCCCAGCAGUGUCUUAAUGGCCAGCCAAUGAAGGCUGCUGAGUACGUCCACUCCCUCAGACCCAGGAGCACCUGCUUUUGCUGGAAAGGGAAAAAUUGCAGGUGAGACAGCACAGUUGCUAAAGAAAACUGAACACACUUGGACUUGCUAAAUGUUUCUCAAAACUGGACAGUUACUACCACUUUGCACGUUUUGAUGUCGUUAUCUUUUUUGUAAACAAACAUUGUAUUGACAUUAAGAAUAUUGGUUUACUUUGAAAUCACUCCUCUGUUGAGUUUGGGUCUGGGGUGGGAAACCAUGUGGGGUUCUGCUGGAACCUCAGCUUGGUGAUGUGAUGAAUGCUGAUGGUCCUUCUAGCUUCAGCUAAUAACAGUUUGGAAGCCUCGGGGCUGUGGAAAUCACCUUGUUUGUUCUAGGUUUCUGAACAACAGAAAGUCCUUCCUUCUUUUACAAAUGGUGCUUUUGUUUCAGCAGAUGCCAAAAGGGAGUUGCCAUUUCAUAUCCCUGGGGAAUUUCUGCAAAUACCAUUGACACAGCUGCCUUUUGUACACAUCCUGGGUAAUAAGAGAUGGCUUUUGCAGCCAAUAUCAGGCUGGCAGCACACACCUGAGUUCUGUAAUAAUACCUAAAUGUUUGAAGAGCAUGUUUUAUAUGCAAAUAUAUUGUUAAUCUUUGUUAUAUACUGUAGUAAUUCUUACAUUGUCCAUAUGCUGUAGUAUGAUGCUGAGACAUAACUAAAUUUGAUACUCAUAAUUUUCAUAUGAAAAUGAAUUUUUAAAGUUUUGAAUAGAUAUUACUUUAUCAUUUUUGAACUAGGAAACUUCUUUUAAAGAUAUAUACAUAAAUAUAUGUAUGUAAAUAUGUUUUUCCUAGCCUGUUUCUUCUUGUUAAUGUAUUUGUUCAUGUUUGAGGCAUGGAACUGGGUAAAUGCAAAAUUCUGUGUUUAAUUUCUUCAGAAUGCACAUAUUUAAUACUAUACUAUAUCUGAUAGCACAUUGAAAUACCUCAUUUUAUGAAAAUAAUAACAAAUGGGGCUGGUGCUGUGGCUCAGCGGGUUAAUGCCCUGGCCUGAGGCGCCGGCAUCCCAUAUGGGCACCCUUUCUAGUCCCGGCUGCUCCUCUUCUGAUCCAGCUCUCUGCUGUGGUCUGGAAUAACAGUAGAAGAUGGCCCAAGUCCUUGGGCCCCUGUACCCACGCGGGAGACCAGGAAGAAGCUCCUGGCUCCUGGUUUCGGAUCGGCACAGCUCUGGCCAUUGCAGACAUCUGGGGAGUGAACCAUCAGAUGGAAGACCUUUCUCUCUCUGUCUCUCUCUCUGUCUGUCUCUCUCUCUCUGCCUCUCCUCUCUCUGUGUAACUGUGACUUUUGAAUAAAUAAUAAAUAAAUCUUUUUUUUUUAAAGAAAAUAAUAACAAAUGAUACAAAAAAGAAAAGGAAAUUGAUGCAUAGUUUUUCCAUAAUUUUCCAUGUAUGUUUUGAAGAUCCCCUUAUACAUGGAUUUCAAAUAUUUUUGCAUCCAAAUAAACCUAAAAGUUUUUAAAGAUUCAUUUGAAAGGCAGAGAGUGACAGAGGGAGAGACAGAGAGAGUGAUGAGUAAUCUUUCAUCCGCUGAUUCACUCUCUAAAUGGCCACAAAAACUGGGCCAUCCUGUCCAAGAUGAAGCCAAGAGCCAGCAACUCCAUCCAGGUGUCCUUUGUGGGUAGCAGGGACCCGUAUACUUGGGCCAUCUUCCAUGGCUUUCCCAGGGGCAUUAGCAGGGAGCCAGAUCUCAAGCAGAACAGCUGGGACUUGAAACAGUGCUCUGACACAGGAUGCUGUGUCACAAAUGGCAGCUUAACUCACUGUGCCACACACCCACCCCUAAACUUAAAUUUUAAUUCUAUUUUCCACAAAUUUUUGAAGUAUCCAAAUGUGUGUGUGUGUGUGUGCGUGUAUAAAUUCAGGUUGUUAUAAAUCAGUGGGAAGAGAUAGCCUAUUCAAUUGAAAAUAUUGAGGCCGGCACCGCAGCUCACUAGGCUAAUCCUCCGCCUGCGGCACCAGAACCCCAUGUUCUAGUCCCGGUUGGGGCACCGAAUUCUGUCCUAGUUGCUCCUCUUCCAGUCCAGCUCUCUGCUGUGGCCCAAGAGUGCAGUGGAAGAUGGUCCAAGUGCUUGGGCCCUGCACCCACAUGGGAUACCAGGAGCAAGCACCUGGCUCCUGGCUUUGGAUCAGCACAGUGCGCCGGCCGUAGCAGCCAUUUGGGGGGUGAACCAACAGAAGGAAGACCUUUCUCUCUGUCUCUCUUUCUCACUGUCUAACUCUGCCUGUCACAGAAAAAAAAUUUUUAAAAAAAGACUAUUUACUGAGUAUCUUGUACGAAGAAUUCCACCUUGGCAGGCAGUUUCAGACCAGAUGGGUAUAGGGAAGUUCAAUAUUUUUUUGUUUGUUUUUAAAUAUUUAUUUAUUUAUGUAUUUGAAAGUCAGGUUUAUGGGGGGGGGGGGUGAGGGAGAGAAAUCUAUCUGAUGGUUCACUCCCCAAAUGACCUCACAGCCAGGGCUUGGCCAAAUCGUAGCAAGGAGCCAGGGGCUUCAUCCAGGUCUCCUGUGUGGGUGCAGAGGCCAUCUUCUGUUGCUUUUCCCAGGUGAUUAGCAGGGAGCUGGAUCAGCAGUGGAGUAGACAGUACUUGGACCAAUGCCCAUAUGGGAUGCUAGUAGUGCCUUAAUAUGUACACCACAAUGCCAGCCCCAAGGUUCAGUUUUUAAGCCUGCCAAAAUAAACUAGCAAGACAGGUCAACAAGAGAAAAGUAUACAAAUAUAUUAAUGUUCAGAUGUACAGAGGAGCCACACAAAAUAUGAAACUCAAAGGAGGACCAGAUAAUUGAGGCUUACAUACCCACUUUUCAAGGAAGAAGAAAGUGGGGCAAUUUAGGAAAUUUCAAAGUAAAUGAUUUUUAGGGGAAAAAGAUCAGCUCAGAGAACAGACAAUGACCUAAGUUCCUUUGAGCUCUGGGUAUGAUGUUCUGUUUCCAGUCUCUUACCGACACUGAGGUGUAGCGGGUAAAGCUGCUGCCUGCAGCACCAGCAUCCCAUGUGGGCACUGAGUUGUGUCCAGGCUGCUCCACUUCUGAUUCAGCUCCCUGACAGUGGCCUGGGAAAAGCAGUAGAAGCUGACCCAAGUAUUUAGCCCUUGCCAGCCAUUCAGGUGAACCAGAUGGAGUUCCUGGUUUCAGCCUGGCCCAGCACUGGCCAUUGCGGUCAUCUGGGUAGUCAGUCAGUACAUGAAAGAUCUCUCUGUGUCUUUCCCUCUCUCUUGGUAGUUCUGACUUUCAAAAUAAAUAAGUACAUCUUUAAAAAAAACCUUUUUUUGUUAAACAUUUAUUUUUAUUUAUUUGAAAGGCAGAAUCACAGAGAGGCUGAGGCAGAGAAAGAGAGGUCUUCCAUCCACUGGUUCAUUCCCCAAAUGGCCACUACAGCGGGAGCUAGGCCGAUCCGAAGCCAGGAGCCCGGAGCUUCUUCUGAGUCUCCCAUGUAGGUGCAGCAGUUUUACCCGCUACACCACAAUGCCCGCAUCUGUGAUAGGAGUUUAAUCUUUCUUGGGUAAUGAAAUUUCAGUAGGAAGAUAGAAGACAAUUGUAUUCCUCUUUGGCAGAUCUGGACUUUAUAGAUAAAAGAACUGCAGAGAAAGCUCUUCCUGCAUUUUCUGUAUCCCAGGGGCUCUCAGUUUGAAGUCCAAAGUGGCACAUUUUGGGAUAUUAUUGUCUGAGCCCUAAAUGGGUUUCUAAGCCAACAUUCAAAAUAAGAUAUUUUAGUCCCAUAAUCCAUAAUUCUGCUUGAACUAAUCUUAUUUCUCCAACUAGAUUAGAAACUCCUUGAGGACAAGGAAUCUGAAUUUUGCAUUUUAUUAAGAAAAAGCUUUUAAGCAGAAAAAUACAUAAAUUUUUCAGAUAAAAUCUGUCACUUAAAUGCAGGGUUUUUUUUCAUAGCCAUGUAGUAUAACCUCAGAGCUCAGAGCUGCAUGGUCACAUAUUUUUGUUUUAACCUUUUGUAUCACACACACACACACACACACACACACAGAAAUACAAUACAGUUUUCCUGGCAACAAAAGGCUUAGUCAGCACAUUUCGCCUUUGGUUUGGUAAAACAAAAGUUUGUUUGUUCAAAGGCAGUGGACCAAGAAGGGGUGGCCUGCACAGUGCCACAAUCCUGAUUGAGAGAUCAUCAACAUGCAGCCUGUGACCUUGCCCUGGAUACCCACUUGGGUCUCUUAAUAACCACUGAUCCCUUCGGCAUACAUAAGAGCUACAACUAAAAAAAUAUAAAAUGCUCUUGUGAGAUGGAGCUAGUCAAAGAGAUUUUGCUUUUUUAUUAUUAUUAUUAUUUGACAGGUAAAGUUAUAGACAGUGAGAGAGAGAGACAGAGAAAGGUCUUCCUUCCGUUGGUUCACUCCCCUAAUGGCCGCCACAGCCAGCGCUGCGCCAAUCCGAAGCCAGAAGCCAGGUGCUUCUCCUGGUCUCCCAUGGGGUGCAGGGCCCAAGCACUUGGGCCAUCCUCCAUUGCCCUCCCGGGCCACAGCAGAGAGCUGGACAGGAAGAGGAGCAACCGGGACAGAAUCCGGCGCCUGAACUGGGACUAGAACCCGGAGUGCCGGUGCCGCAGGCGGAGGAUUAGCCUAGUGAGCCAUGGCGCUGGCCAACUUUAUUUUUAAAAUAACUAUAAAUAGUAAUAUAUUUUAAUGGCCAGGGACUGGAUUGACAUGGAAUAUUGAUGCAUUUGGGUUCUCCAGAGACAGCCAAUAAGGAAAUGGGGGGGGGGCAGGAAGAGAGAGAGGAAGGGAGGGAGAGAGGGAGCGAGGGAGAGAGGGAGAGAGAAAGGGAGAGAGGCUUUACCAGAGGAACUGGCUCAUGAGAUUCUGGAGUGAGAAGUCCCCAGUAAGCCCUUAGAAAGCUACAGACCUGAGAAUGCCCAGAGGACAGCUCAAUCUGGUUAGAAAGCCUCUCAUUUCUGGAAACUGAUGUGUUUCUCAAUACAAGGCUGAAGGCCUGAGAACUAGGGGGCUACUGGUACAAUUCUCAGAUCAGUGGCCUGAGAGCCUGGAGUUCUGAUGACCAAACUUAGUAGAAGGGCUGUCCCAGCUCCAAGAGAGAAACAGAAUUAGCCUUUUUCAUGCCUUUUUGUUUAUUUGAAUGAUACUUGCCCAUACUGAGGUGGAUCUUCCCCAUUCAGUCCAAUGACUCACAUGCCAGUCUCGCCUGGAAACAGCUUCACAGACCCACCCAGUAUUAAUCACUUUAUUAGCUGUCUAGGUGUUCCUUAGUCCAAUCAAAUUGACACCAAUGUUGGAAAAACAACUGUCUUUGUCCAUGUUCUCACACCAAAACAAUCAACACAGAAUGCUGCUGUGACCCCCAAAAGGGUAGGGAUUUGACCCCACUAGCAAGGAAGCAAGCAGUGCUGCAGGAGACACAAGCUGGUGUCUUCUAAAUCAAUCACGUCUGACGCUCUACCGGAGACAGUGUUAGGAUCAAACACACUGAAGGCUCCGCCCCCAUGAUAGAUCCUCCCCACAACCCACACAAGUUCAGAUGUCAAUCCCAAGUCCCAAAUGGUUUUACCUGUGCGCUCAAUGAUGGAUUAUAAAUAAGGGUUCCCACAAGCCCAUCCUCAGAUUUGAUUCAUUUGCUUGCACAGCUCACAGAACUCAGGGAAACAGAUUUUCCAGUUUAUUAUAAAAGAUACCAUGUUGAACACAGAUGAAGAGAUGUAGAGAGUGAUGUAUAGGGAAGAGCAUGGAGCUUCCACCCCCUCUCUGGGUGCACCAUCCUGUAUGAGACUCUGAGUGUUCAGCUUUCUGGAAGCUCUCCAGAUCCUAUCUUUUUGGUUUUUUUAUGAAAACUUUAUUGCAUAGGCAUGAUUAAAACAUGGACAAUCAUAUAGUAAAGUGAUUGCAAAAAGAGGGUCUGAUCUAGUGCUAUUAGACUGAAUAGUGAAACCCAUUAAGGCCUGUCCAGAUUCUUCUUGGCCUGUCUGUGCAGCAUUUCUCCACUUGGGACAUGGAACAGGACACCUACUCAAACGGGGACCUUAUGACAUACUGUCAGACAAGAUAGCAUGUUUUGCAGAGGGAGUUAUAAACCGUGAGCCACAGAUAAAAACCACAUACACACAUAUAUAAUUGAUGAUAACUUAUAUAUGAAUCUAUGUGUGUGUGUACUUAAUCAUAAUAUCACAAUAUAAAGCCAACCAGCACAAUUCAGAGUUUAAACAGCUUUUUUUUAGUGGGAUAGAAUUAUACUUUUUCCAAGUAUUUUGGAAUUGGAGGAAAGACUAAUUUAAAUCUCUUAUAAUAGGGGCAACUAUUUGGCGCAGUGGUUAAGACACUGCUUGUGAUGCCUAAGUUUAAGGCCCAGCUCCACUUCCUAUUUGACCACAUCUUGGAGGCAGCAGGUGUAGGUUCAAGUGGUUGGGUUCCUGCCAUCCAUGUGGGAGAUCUUUAUUGUGUUACUGGUUCCUGGAUUCAGCCUGGCCCAGUUCUGGCCAUUGUAGCAUUUGGGAAGUGAACCAGUGGAUUAGAGAUCUCUCUCUCUCUCUCUCUCUCUCUGCCUGUCUGACUUUCAAAUAAAUAAAAUAAAUUUUAACAGAUUUUUUAAGGGUUUAUUUUAUUUAUUUGAGAGAGUGUGUUGGGGGUGGGUGGAGACAGAGAGACAGAGGUCUUCCAUCCACUGGUUCACUCCCAAAAUGGCCACAGUGGCUGGAGCUGGGCCAGGCUGAAGCCAGGAGCCUGGAACUCCAUCCAGAUCUCCCAUAUGGGCAGCAGGGACCCAAGUACUUGGGCUAUCUUCCAUUGCCUUUCCAAAUGCAUCAGCAGGGGGUUGGAUUGGAAAUAGAGGAGUCAGGACUUGUAACCAACACUUACAUAAGGCAUGCCAGCAUCACAAGUGGUAGCUUAACCCCCUGUACUACAAUGCUGGUCCCAAUAAAAUAAAUUUUUAAAUAAUAAAUUCUGUAUAAUGAUAGACCAAAACCUUAACCUUUCUAAAGACCUGGGUUGUAGGUUAAUGUGCCAAACUAUUUAAUAGAAAAUGAAUAAGCAAGUUAGUCUUUUAUAUGUUACUCUAUACCAUCCACACACUUUAAAAAUAAAUCACAAUUAAAUUUAACCCUUUUUCUACCAAAUGACAUACCACAGUAAGCCCUUUAUUGCCAAGAAUUUCUAAAAUUAAAAUUCUAUGUAGUAGGUAUUAAGGGUUGAAUUGUAUCCCUCAAAAAGAUAGGUUGUUGAAGUCCUACGAAUUAUAAAUAUUAUUUGUAAAUAUUGCCUAUUUGCAAAUAUAAGUUUUCUUUAGCUAUAUUCAACAUGAGAUUAUUCUGUAUUGGAGUGCACCCUAAAUCCAGUGACUAGUAUCCUUUUAAGAAGGCCACAUUGUGGGGCCGGUUUUGUGGCUCAGAGGGUUAAGCUACUGCCUGCAAUACCAUCCUGUAUGGACACCUGGUUCGAGUCCUGACUGCACCACUUCUGAACAACUCCCUGCUAAGGCACCUGGGGAAGCAGCACAAGAUGGCCCAAGUCCUUGGACCCCUCUACCACAUGGGAGACCUGGAUGGAGUUCCUGGCUCCUAGCUUUGGCUUGGCCCAACCCCAGCACUUGAAAUCAUUUGGGGAGUGAACCAGUGGAUGAAAAAUCGAUUUUCUCUCUCCCUCUCUAACUGCCUUUCAAUUCCCUCUUUGUCUAACUGCAUUUCAAUUAAAUAAACAGACCUUUAGGAAAGAAAAAAAAGUCCAUAUCAGGAGCAGACAUUUGGCAUAGCAGUUAAGAUGCCAAUUGGGAUGCCCACAAUCCCAUAAAGCAGUGCAUUGUUCAAGUUUUAUCUCUGCUUCCAAUUCUAUCUUCCUGCUAAUGUGCAACCCAGGAGGCAACAGGUGGUGGCUGAAGUACUUGGGUGCCUCCUACCCAUGUGGAAGACCAGGAUUUGGUUCCGGGCUCCUGGCUUUGGCCUAGUCCAGCUUCAAUUGUUAUGGACAUUUGUGGAGUGAACCAACAACUGGAAGGUUUUUGUUUUGUCUCUCUGCCUUCCAAAUAAAUAUUUUUUUUUUAAAUAAGAAGACCAGGGGCCAGCAUUAUGGCACAGCAGGUAAAACCAUCACCUUUGAUGCUGGCAUCCCAUGUGGGCACCAGUUCCAGUCCCGGUUGGUAUACUUCCAAUCCAGCUCCCUGCUUAUAUGCCUUGGAAAGCAGCGGAGGAUGGCCCAAGUACUUGUGCCUCUGUACCCAUGUGGGAGACCUGGAGAAAGCUCCUGGUUCCUGGUUUCAAACCAGCCUAGCUCCAGCUGUUCAGUUGUCGCAGCUAUCUGGGGAAGUAAAACAGCAGAAGGGAGAAUCUCUCUCCCUCUCUCCCUUUUUCUCUCCCUCUCUCCCUCUCCCUCCCCCUCUCCUUCCCCCUCUCCCUCCCUUAUCUCCCUCCCUCCUUCCCUCUCCCUGUAACUGCCUUUCAAAUAAAUAAAUAAAUCUUUUUUAAAAAAAAAAACAUAAGAAGAUCAGGGGCUGGUGAAAUGUCAUAGCCAGUUAAACCAUCACCUGCCAAUACAGUCGUCCCAUAUUGGCACCAGGUCCCAUGUGCUGGCUGCUCCAAUUCUGAUCUAGCUCUUUGCCAAUGGCCUAAGAAAAUUAGCAGAAAAUGGCCCAAGUGUUUAGACCCUUACCACCCACAUGGGAGCUCCUGGCUCCCAGUGCUCAGCCUGGACCAGACUAGGCCACUGGGGCCAUGUGGGGAAUGAACUAGUGGAUGGAAGAGUCUCUUUCUCCAUCUCUCUCUCUGUCUCUGUAACUCUUUAAAGUAAAUAAAUAACUCCCUCCCCUUUUUUUCAAAAGAAGACCAUGUUAGGGUAGGUGUUUGUCACAGUGGUUAAGAAACUGAGAUAUCCUCAUUGGAGUGCCUGGGUUCAAGUCCUGACUGUGCUGCCAAUUUUAGCUUUCUGUUGAUUUGUAUCCUGAGAGGCAGCAAGUGGUAGCUCAAAUACUUGGGCCCCUAAAACCUGCAUGGGAGACCUGGAUUGAAUUCUUCAGUCUUGGCUUUGGCUUAAUCUAGCUGUGGCUAUUGCAAGAAUUUGGAGAGAGAACCAGCAGGUGGGAGAUCUCUCUCACUCUCUCUCCCUCAGAUAAAUAAUUAUUGGUUGAAGAAGACCACAUGAAGGCAAUGUAUUUAAUUUGCUAUGGCUGUUGUAAUAAGGAUUGAAUUGUGUCUCUCCCCCACAAUCAUAUUUAGAUACUGAAGUCCUAACCCCCAGUACCUCAUGAUGUGACCUUAAUUGAGGGUAAGGUCUUUUUUUUUUCUAAAUACGUUUUUCUUUUUUUCUUUUUAUUUUUUUUAUUAUUUUUUGACAGGCAGAGUGGACAGUGAGAGAGAGACAGAGAGAAAGGUCUUCCUUUGCCGUUAGUUCACCCUCCAAUGGCCACAAAUUGGGUGGCUUAAACAAAAAUGUUUUAGCUCAUAGUUUUGGAGACUAGUGUGGGGAGCAGCUCGGACUAGACUAAGUUACUGGAAUUAAGACUUAUUCUAUGCAUCUGCUCUCCUCUGUGGGGAGCAGCUCGGACUAGACUAAGUUACUGGAAUUAAGACUUAUUCUAUGCAUCUGCUCUCCUCUGUGGGGAGCAGCUCGGACUAGACUAAGUUACUGGAAUUAAGACUUAUUCUAUGCAUCUGCUCUCCUACAAUAUGGCGCUGGGAGAGGAGAAAACAGCUUCUACCCAGCUGCCUCCAGUUCAACCAAUAAACUGUAGGACUUGCUCCUGAUUGGAGAGCAGCGUACUUGGCGUGUGGGCAGCCGAGUUAGGAUUGGCGGAGGAGGACUAUAAAGGAGGAGAGAGACGGCAUGCACCAGGAACAUCUAUGGGGAACAUCUAAGGGAACCCGUGCAGCCCCCAGAGAGCCGGCCGGCGGUGUGCCGCUCCCCUGCGGAAGUGGGGAAUGCGGCCAGGGGGAACUGCCCUUCCACGGAGGUGGAAGGGACGGUAGCCAACCCGGGAAGAACCAGCAGCAAACCCGGGGAGGGCCGAGCAGACGAAAGAACAGCGCAGGGUCCUGUGUCGUUCCCCCAUGAAGACGGGGAGCGACAUAAUGGUGCCGUGACUCGGAUAUGAAGCCUAGGCAGGGCUUAGUGUCGUUCCUCCACAAAGAGGGGGAGCGACAUAAUGGUGCCGUGACUCGGAUAUGAAGCCUAGGCAGGGUAUUGUGUCGUUCCCCCACGAAGAGGGGGAGCGACAUAAUGGUGCCGUGACUCGGAUAGGAAACCUGACUCGGAUAGGAAACCUAGCUCGGAUAGGAAACCUAGCUCGGAUUGGAAACCUAGGACGGAUAUGAAACUUAGGAAGGAAGAAACGGGAAGAAGUGGAAAAUACCGGAGAGAGAGACUAGCAAAGAGCCUAGGGGAAAGCCGGACGAGAAAGGUGCCGGAAGAAGCUAUUGAAAGCCUAGGCAUAGACUUGGAUAUGGACUGUGGGAAAGAAGUUAGGAUUGAAAGCGAAAGUGAAAGCUUUCAUAGACUCGGAUGCGGACUAUGGCGGGGAAGCUAGGAGAUUGAAAGCGAAAGUGAAACCUAGAGGAAACUUGGACUCGGAUACGGACUGUGGGGAGUAGCCAGGAGAAAUGAGAGGAAUAUUGUUGGAAGAAAACUUAAGGAAACACACCGGGUAGAGAAAAAUGUUAGGGAGGAUGAAGCCGCGAGUGCAGGCCAAGCCAUCUUGGAAUUCUUCAAGUCACCCCAGGGAGCAGGAGGCGAAGAUCUGGAACCAGAGACGUGGGCCGCCAGGUUGGAAUUCGCCAGGUUAGUCCGGGGAACUUGGACUGAAUGCCGGUGGUGGCGGAAACAUUCGCGGAAGCCGCCGCGUGCAGAGAGAGCACGGGGCGUGAAUAGAUGGGGAACGCCGGGGCUGGCGCGAGGCCGUGGUGCGGGCGCGAAGUGCGUGGAGACCGCGGAGCGUGCGCGCAGAGCCGGGAACCCGCCUGCGGGGCGAGGCGCCGGGAAGCCGCGCGGAGCCGUGAAGCUGCCGCGGGGCGAGGCGCCGGGAAGCCGCGCAAAGCCGGGAAGCCGCGCAGAUCGGAGAAGCGCGGGCUGAAGCGGCUCAGAGCCGGGAAGCCGCCGAGAAGUAGUCUCGGGGCGGGCGCCGGAAAGCCGCAGGGAUAAGAGAAACAGAAGUUUAGAAGUAAAGUGAGAAAAAUAGGAAUGCUGGAAGAUAGAAGUAAAAUGGGAGAAAUAGGAAUGCCCGGAGAUAGAGAAAUAGAGAAAUAAAAAGGCCUCCCUACAACACUGCAAUGUGAGAGCUUGGAUUCGGUCUGCCUAAUCAAGUGAGGCGAUGAGCACCUGCGGGCAGCUAGCAGCUUAUGCGCCGCAGGUCACCGAAGACAGGCACGAAUUAACAUCAGUAAGGCUUCCCCACAAUACAACAAUAUUAAGCUUGGAUUCGGUCUGCCUGAUUUAAGGCGGUAAGCGCCAGCAAGCAGCUCGACCAGAGUAUGAGCUGCAGGUCACCGAAGAUAGGCACGAACCAACACUAAUAAGUCUCCCCCACAAUAAGGCAAUGAGAAGGCUUGGAUUCGGUUUGCCUGAUAGGUCUUGUAAGUCCCCUGCAGGCAGAGCAGAGCAUGCGCUGCAGGGCACCGAACACAGGCACGCAUCAGCGCCUAAAAACCUCCUCACAACAUGGCGAAGAGAGGACCCGGAUUCGGUUUGCCUCAUUGAUAGGACUUGUAAGAACCUGUGGCAACUCUAGCAAGUAGAGCAGAGUGUGUGCUGCGGGACACCAAAGACAGGCGCGUAUCAACGCCAAAAAAAUAAAAAGAAAGGGGGAUCUGUGGGGAGCAGCUCGGACUAGACUAAGUUACUGGAAUUAAGACUUAUUCUAUGCAUCUGCUCUCCUCUGUGGGGAGCAGCUCGGACUAGACUAAGUUACUGGAAUUAAGACUUAUUCUAUGCAUCUGCUCUCCUCUGUGGGGAGCAGCUCGGACUAGACUAAGUUACUGGAAUUAAGACUUAUUCUAUGCAUCUGCUCUCCUACAAUAUGGCGCUGGGAGAGGAGAAAACAGCUUCUACCCAGCUGCCUCCAGUUCAACCAAUAAACUGUAGGACUUGCUCCUGAUUGGAGAGCAGCGUACUUGGCGUGUGGGCAGCCGAGUUAGGAUUGGCGGAGGAGGACUAUAAAGGAGGAGAGAGACGGCAUGCACCAGGAACAUCUAUGGGGAACAUCUAAAGGAACACCUGUGCAGCCCCCGAGAAGAGCCGGCCGGCGGUGUGCCGCUCCCCUGCGGAACUGGGGAAUGCGGCCAGGGGGAACUGCCCUUCCACGGAGGUGGAAGGGAUAGUAGCCAACCCGGGAAGAACCAGCAGCAAACCCGGGGAGGGCCGAGCAGACGAAAGAACAGCGCAGGGUCCUGUGUUGCUCCUCCACGAAGAGGGGGAGCGACAACUAGAAGUCCAAAAUGAAGAAAUUGACAAAGGUCGUUCCUUCUGUGCACUGUGAGAAUUGUUCUGUGUCUUGUCCCUUGCUUCUGGAGGUUUGUGAUCCUGGCACUCCCUGGCUUAUAGAAGCAUCAACCUAAUCUCUGCCUUCAUCUUCACAGAGCAUUCUUCAAGUGUGUGUCCAAAUUUCCCCUUUUUAUAAGGAUAUCAGUCACAAGGACUAGGGUCGCCCUAAUGACCUCAUUUUAACUUAUCUCUGUCAAGACCUUACCCUCGCCAUCACCACAGCUCAGUAGGCUAAUCCUCCGCCUUGCGGCGCCGGCACACCGGGUUCUAGUCCCAGUCGGGGCGCCGGAUUCUGUCCCGGUUGCCCCUCUUCCAGGCCAGCUCUCUGCUGUGGCCAGGGAGUGCAGUGGAGGAUGGCCCAAGUGCUUGGGCCCUGCACCCCAUGGGAGACCAGGAGAAGCACCUGGCUCCUGCCUUCGGAUCAGCGCAGUGCGCCAGCCGCGCCGGCCAUUGGAGGGCGAACUAACGGCAAAGGAAGACCUUUCUCUCUGUCUCUCUCUCUCUCACUGUCCACUCUGCCUGUCAAAAAAUAAUAAAAAAAAUAAAAAGAAAAAAAGAAAAACGUAUUUAGAAAAAAAAAAGACCUUACCCUCAAUUAAGGUCACAUCAUGAGGUACUGGGGGUUAGGACUUCAGUAUCUAAAUAUGAUUGUGGGGGAGAGACACAAUUCAAUCCUUGAUAGACACAGAGAGAAAUCAAAGGUGGAGGCAGAGAAUGGAGAAAUAGAGCAAAAAGUCAAAAAACACUAAGGAUUAUUGCCCAACACCCAAAACCAGGAAGACAAGGAACAGGAAUUUUUUUAAAAAGAUUUAUUUGAAAGGCAGAAUUACAGAAAGGGGGAAAGAUCUUCCAUCUAUUGGUUCAUUCCUCAAAUGGCCACAAUAGCCAGUGCUGGGCCAGGCUGAAGCCAGGAGCCCGGAGCCAGGAACUUCAUCUGAAUAUCCUACGUGGGUAGCAGGGGUCCAAGCACUUGGAAAUGGAAGCUGGAUUGGAAGUAGAGCAGGUACUGGCACUGUGGUGUAGUGGGUUAAGCCACCGCCUGCAGCGCCGGCAUCCCAUUUGGGUGUUGGUUCAAGUCCAGGCUACCCCACUUCUGACCCAGCUCUCUGUUAAUGCUCCUGGGAGGCAGCAGGUGAUAGCUCAAGUAUUGCAGUUCUUGUUACCCAUGUAGGAAACCUAGAUUGAGUUCCAGGCUCCUGGCUUUGACCAGGCCCAGCCCCAGGAGUUCUGUGAAUUUGGGGAGUGAAAUAGCAGAUGAAAGAGGUAUCUGUGUCUAUGUCUCUCUGCUUUUCAAAACAAUUUUAAAGAUUUAUUUAUUUGAAAGGCAAAGUUACAGAGAGAUAGAGGCAGAGGCAGAAAAGUCUUCCAUCGGCCGGCGCCGUGGCUCACUAGGCUAAUCCUCCACCUAGCGGCGCCGGCACACCGGGUUCUAGUCCCGGUCGGGGCGCCGGAUUCUGUCCCGGUUGCCCCUCUUCCAGGCCAGCUCUCUGCUGUGGCCAGGGAGUGCAGUGGAGGAUGGCCCAGGUGCUUGGGCCCUGCACCCCAUGGGAGACCAGGAAAAGCACCUGGCUCCUGGCUCCUGCCAUCGGAUCAGUGCGGUGCGCCGGCCGCAGCGUGCCAGCCGUGGCGGCCAUUGGAGGGUGAACCAAUGGCAAAGGAAGACCUUUCUCUCUGUCUCUCUCUCUCACUCUCCACUCUGCCUGUCAAAAAAAAAAAAAAAAAGAAAAGAAAAAAGAAAAGUCUUCCAUCUGUUGGUCCGCUCCCCAAAUGACCACAAUGGUCAGGGCUGGGCCAGACCAAAGCCAGGAGCCAGAAGGUUCAUCUGGGUCUCCCAUGUAGGUGCAGGGGCACAAGCACUUGGGCCAUUUUCUGCUGCUUUCCCACACACAUUAGCAGGGAGCUGGAUGGGAAGUGGAGCAGCCGGGACUUAAACCAGCACUCAUAUGGGAUGCCAGCACUGCAGGCAGUGGCUUAACCUACUAUGCUUCAGUGCCAGUCCCAAAAAAUAAAAUUAAAAAAAAAAAAAGUAGAAAUGGACACAAGCCCAAGACUAGGGUGCUUCCUAUUAAGACUUAACUACAUUUCCCAGUGCUCAGGGUGUGCCCAGCCAAGCAGAACACACAGCAUAGGGUCAGAACACCUGCCCAGAUUGGUCCCUGCCAAAGAAUUUAUCCCUCCCAAGGGACCAAGAUACAGCUGCUACUGAAAGGAGUACUCACCUAAGCCUCCUAACUAAAGAUACUUGGUUUCCUCUGUAUUUGACCCUUUAGGAUUCCAGAUAUUUUAACGAAGUUUUUUCACAUAAGGAAAUUUGUUUAUUUCGAAGUGUGAUCAUACCCAGAUUUUUUUUAAAUAUUUAUUUAUUUAUUUAUUUUUGACAGGCAGAGUGGACAGUGAGAGAGAGAGAGACAGAGAGAAAGGUCUUCUUUUGCCGUUCAUACCCAGAUUUUUUUGAUACAAUCUCUCUUGUUCUCACCCUUGCACUCACUCUCACAUGCACUGUGUUCACCUUAAACCAAUUUAAUGAAAAUGGCCUAAAAUGUCAUGUCUUUCUAUGACCAUUAUCAGCUACACAUAUGCACACAAAUGCAUAUGUGCAUGCACCUGCUUGUGCACGAACACGGCAACAGAAAAUAGCAAUUACAGCUCAGAAGCUAAAAAAUUGAAAAAACUUAAGUGAUUAAGAUGUGUUACAUGACUGUAAAAAGCUAUAUUGACAAAAAGCAUCCAGGCUCACCUAUUAAAUUGACAGACAUUUCUUUUUUAAUGAGACUGUCAAAUAUCACCAUGGUCAAAGCAGCAAGGCUGAUGAACUCCUGCUACUGAUAAAUUGUGAAACCCGUAGGAAAGCGUUGGACAAUACAUCAUUAUUUUUAAAGAUUUAUUUAAGAGGCAGAGUUACAGAGAGAGAGUCACAGAAAGAAAUCUUGCAUCUGCUGUUUCACUCCCCACAUGACCACAAUGGCCAAAGCUGGGCCAACUGAAGCCAGGAGCCAGGAGCUUUUUCCAGGUCCCCCACGUGGGCGUAGGGGACCAAGUACUUGGGCCAUCCGCUGCUGCUUUUUCAGGUGCAUUAGCUGGAAGCUGGAUCAGAAAUGGAUCAGUCAGGACUGGAACUGGUGCCCAUAUGGGAUGCUGAUGUGGAAUGCAGGUGGUGGUUUUACCUGUUAUGCCACAGUGCCAGCCCCUAAACAAUGCAUCUUAAAGGCUUUGACAGUUUUCCUACCCUGUGUCCUAGUAAUUUUACUUCUAAUAGGACAUAAAGAAGUAAUUAAAGAAUUAAAGAAUAGGGACUGACAUUGUGGCAAAGCAGGUAAGGUGUCUGCAAUGCUGGCAUCCCAUACCAGCACUGGUUCAUGUCUUGACCGCUCCAUUUCCAAUCUAGCUUCCCCCUCCAUCUGAAACUCUUUCACAUAAAUAAAUCCUCUAAAAAUUUAAAGAAUAACUUCUUACACAUAGGUACUCAAAAAUGUAACUUAUACAGUAUUCAUAAUAGUGGAAACUAAAAAUAAAAAUAGAAUGAUAAAGUACUUUUUGGCAUAGUCUAUUGAUUGACUAUUGUGUAGGCAUUACAAAUGUCAUUAUAACUACAUCAACUUGGAAAAGAUAUACCUUUAAGGGAAAAAGUAAAAUGUAAAAGAAUACAUAGAUUUGGUAGACUGGUACAGUAAUGGCUUUGAUGAACCACAUAUGCCUGUUUCUGGACUCUGCGAAGUCCCCUCCCACAUUGGCUCUGGGCUUGGCCAAGUGUCUUUCAUUGGACAGUGGAACAUUAGCAAAAAUGAUUGCAGGUAGUGACCUGAAAAGUGUUUGCAUGGUGGUUCUUUUUUUAAAAAAUAUUUAUUUAUUUAUUUGAAAGUCAGAGUUAUACAGAGAGGGGAGAGGCAGAGAGAGAGAGAGAGAGAGAGAGAGAGAGAGAGGUCUUGCAUCUGAUGGUUCACUCCCCAGUCAGCUGCAAUGGCCGGAGCUGCACCGAUCCAAAGCCAGGAGCUUCUUCUGGGUCUCCCACAUGGGUGCAGGGGCCCAAAGACUUGGGCCAUCUUAUAGGCUUUCCCAGGCCAUAGCAGAGAGCUGGAUCGGAAGAAGAGCAGCCAGGACUAGAACUGGAGCCCAUAUGGGAUGCUUCAGGCCAGGGCAUUAACCUGCUAUGCCACAGUGCCAGCCCCGCAUGGUGGUUCUUGAUCUCUUUCCCUUAAUGCUAUUGGUACUCAGAUGCCCAAGUAAGAUGCUAGAGGCACAACACCCAGGACUAGCUACCAGAUACAUGAAUGAGGCCUCAUUAUACUACUGAGCUUCAGCUGAACCACCAGAAGUUUGUAGUGGUGUGAAAGACCCUAACUGAUAAUAGCAAAAGAAGUGCCAAAGCACAAAUUGAUGACACACAUGAAGGUGAACAAGUAAAAGUGUUACAAUUUUAAGCACUAAGUUUUGAAGUAGUUUGCUAUAAUUUUCACUUUGUUAAAAUAACUGUGCAUAUAUAGAAGGAAAGUAGCCCUGCUAUUUAGGCAAAAAAAUAAUUUACAGCAACCCUGUGAUGAAAGAAACUGAGGCAAAGAGACCUCUUGAGUAGGCAUGACUUGACAAGACCCUACCUACCAGCAGAGAGACAAGUACAUUCUAAAGAGAAGUUACUUAAACAACAAAGAAAAUAAGCACACAAAUGAAUACAGAGUUUCUCUUUGGGUUGAUGAAACUUUGAAAAUACAUAGUGCUGAUGGUUGUCCAACAUUGUGAAUAUAAUUAAUGCUAUUAUACCCACAAAAAUGGCUAAAUUAUAUAGAUAAAACAUAUAUAAACACAAUUUAGAAGCAAAUGCAAAACCAUAUAACCAACAUCAACGUAGCACAAACUUCUUCUCCAGGAUAGAAUUCUCUCUGUAACCUGCUAUAAAAAUGACUGCUUCAGGGACAAGCAUUUGGUCUAGUGGUUAAUAAACUGUUUGGGAUGCCCUCAUCCCAUAUCUAAAGGCCUGAAUUUUGAGUCCUAACUGCAGCUCCCAAUUUCAGCUUUCUGCUAAUGCAGACCAUGGGAGACAGGGGUGAUGGCUCAAAUAGUUGGAUUCUUGCCACUCAUGUGGGAGACCUGGAUUGAAUUUUAGGCUUCUGUCUUUGGCCUGGCCCAGUCCCAGCUGUUGAGGGCAUUUGGGGGGUGAAUUAGGGGUUGGGAAUACUAGCUUUCUCUCUGUCUCAAAUAAAUUUAAAAAAAAAAUUUAAAAAGCUGUUCAGCCAGUAUGAAUUAACAGUUUGUCCAAUAGCCAAUACCUGUUCUUGGGCAUUUUCCACAUUUCCAGGCAGAAUUAGGUUUAGUGAUGCAAUCCAAUCCUACCAGGCUUUUAGGAGCCAUGUAUAUCAGCUUAAGAUGAUAGAACAUAUUUUCCUCAAAGGAACCAGACCCAGCGUGACCAGAUCCCUACUCUACAUAUCUCCCAUGAGACACCAGGGCACAUUUUAUAUUUACAAGCAUGCCCAUAACCAAGAAUGUUCUUGAGUUUCCAAAUGUUAGGGGUAAAAUGGUGAUGAAGGAAAGUGGCCUUGCUUCUUGUCUCAUGUGGAAUUUCCCCACAGACAAGGCAGUGAGCAAACAAGAUUUUUUUGAGAAACCUCCUGCCACAGCAGUCAUGAAGGGAGGGCUCCAAGAGAGGAAGACCCGAGAAACUGUGUCUGUGGAGUCUUUUAAGCACAAUUCAGGGAAAAAGACAAAACAGCAGCUAACAAUCAAUUGGAGAUUGGGGAUAAAACCCAUCAAAAGGCCAGAAUUGUAGUCCUGUCUAGCUUGCUCAUGAUAAAACAAAAAAGCCAUCAGAAGGGUAGGAUAGGUAACUUCUUUCUAUUAUGAUAAAACUGGAAAGUCAGAGUAGGAUUGGCACUUUUAUCUUGUUACAGGCAGCUUCUGGAGAGGAUGCAUUUUGUACCGUCUUAAAGAGACUUCCCCUGUCCUCAUUCAUACUGGGACCCAACCUAACAGCCUAUUAGUCAACCCUCCUUCCCUGCCUCCUUUAGUAAGAUUUGACCUUCAUACUCUCAGUCUGACACAGCCUUGUGGCCGGGGCUCUGUGCCAGCACUGGUUUAGCCAGUGAACCAAGGGUGGCGGACCUGGCUGAAGCCUCCUGGGAAGAAGGGAAGGGGAUUUAAAGCAGCAGCUCACUCAGUCACCAUGUAAAUGAAUUCUUCCUACAGAGGCCAGCAUUUCUUCAGUUUUCUGGGUUGGGCUGGGACACUGGAAAUGUCAAGAAGCCACCUCACAAGAGAGGUGUUUGCUGAGUGAGUGCCCUCCCAGGGACUGUUAUUCGAAACUUGGGUGGGCUGAGACUGCUUCAUCUCUCCCUGCUGUACCAGUGCUCAGUAUGAGGCCAUAGGUUGUGCUGCAGGAUCCCAGACUAACUUGUGGCUUUCUCUCCUCCUCUUCCUGACCCUGCCCUAGCACAGUGUCUGCUGCCAACCUCAGGUUUCCUAAGUGUUUGUCCAAUUGAGCACAGGCAUUUUUACUUUUUUGUUUCCCCUCACAUGCAAAUAUUUGUUACUAAUUUCUCAACUCUUCAGCCUUGUGCACUUCCUUUGACCCUCCUUUCUUAGAGCUGUUUCCCCCUGCUCCUGGGUCCCAGUAAUUACCCCUUCUAACUCAAAUGACCUUAUUUUUUCCCACUUCCUCUUUCCUUCCAUUGUUGUGCAGAGGGAGGAGAGGCUGCUAGAAGGGGAAUGGUGGGUAGCAGGAUUUCUCAGCACUGUCUUCCAGGUUCUGCCCUUGAGGUCUAGCUUCCAGCAGGCCCCACACCCACGCCACCCAAUCUGCCCACCUGCAAAAUGGCAAAGGAGCCAGCAUUGUGGGAGAAAUCAGUAUGAGUGCUUUCAGUUUGCUAGCUCACAAUUGACUUCCAUCUCUCAAGGAAGCCAAGGACCCUCCUGAGGCACUGGGGGAUCCAGGAGAGGGACAUACAGGAGUGUCUCUCUCCCAAAAAGGAUGAGAAUCUUCAUUUGAGAGAAUAAAAUCUUUCCUUCGCCCUAUCUAAGGGUCCCAGUGGGAAGGGAAGGUUCUGGGAGAACUUAUAGGUGGUGGCAUCCUUGUUACCAUUUACUCAGUUUUUACUCAGGUAAGCUGGAGAUUCUGACACAUGGGUGUUGGGAAGACAAGCAAUUUGGUUAAGGGAAAUCAAUGCUAAAAAACAUUUUUAUAAAAUGUUUAUCCUGGAAACUUCUCUCAAGUGAUGAUUCUUCUCUUGGGAAACACAUCCUUGUACUCUCCCCCUCUCUCCACGAGACCCGGAGGCCUCAGGUGUCCUUGGUUUCCUUGAGAGAGGGAAAUUAACCAUUAACCAACAAACUGAAAGAAACAGUUUUAUUACAGAAAGCAAAGAGCAGACUACUCCACAGAGCAAUCCCGUGUGAAGCUGGGGUUCCCACACUUAUGGGGUCCAGAAAAUGUAGGUUAAUAUCUGGUUGAAAUACUUAACCUUAGUUCUGGGAAAUGGGCGGCAAUUUCCAGGAAUUAGGGAUCCCCUUCUUUUUUCUUCUUCUUACCUGGUCACUUCUGCAGUUUGUUGCAGCAUUAAUAACUGUCACUCCAGGUGGGACUGUUAUUGUGUUAACACAUUAUAAUGAGGGUAUAACCAUUCCUGGUCUCCUUGGAGUUAAGUUAGGUGCGGUCUUGGAUUCAGCUGAUUCAAACCAGUUCUUUUGCCUUGUAUCUUGUUUUUCAGCCCACUUCUUGGUGGAUAGAGCUGGGGCUUGCCACAUACUAUCUCAGUUUCUCCAGAGAUUUAGUCCUCCUUAUUCCCAAAGGAAUUUGGAUGAAGAUCUCAUCUUCUGUGGAUGCUUCCUAAUGACCAAAGGCAUUGGCCUUGCCAAUCCUGAGAGUAAUAAAAGCCUCUCAUGGCUUUUAUUUAUCUCCAUCUAAGGGCCUCAGCAGCAUGUCCUUCAGCAAUAGGCAUUGGCUGAAAUCCUCACAUGGCUCUCAUUAAACUGUUAAAACCUGGCAGAAACAAACUUAACCAGGUUGGACAAGCAAGGUCCAGAUAUUAGCAAUAAUACAGUUGUUACAAAUAAGGAGGUAGGGAUUAGAAAAAAAAAUAGCCAGAGGAAAUGUGUUACCACACCCUCCCUGAGGGCUGCCUUUGAAACUCCUACCAUAGCCAGUGCCAAAAUCACACUUUGGUGCCACAUAAAAAUAUACAACAUGGUGAGGGAGGGCUGACUGAAUCUCCAUGGGACCUAUAACCUACUAUAUGUCAUUUUAGGAUUUCCAUGGCUGACACUUCUACUCCCAUCAUGAGCCUGAUGCCAUGGCACUUCUGAGACUUUCUGAAAAGGCCAGAAAUUGGCCAGUCACCAAAUUCCUGUAAAUCCCUGCCCUUUCCUGGAAAACUUGGCCCAAAGUACCAUCUCCUGUGACUCCAGGGCACAUAAAUAGAUAACCUGUAACCUUAUGGGUUACAGCUCACUCUGGAGUGUGUACUUUUGCUUUGCUAAUAAAUCUUAUUUCUCUCCAAAUCUUACUAUAUGUCUAUGCAUUGGAAGUCAGAACCUGGACUGCCUGGGCUCCCCUCAGUGCAGUGACUAUCACGGGGUAAGAAGUUGAUGAGAAGGAGGAGCUGCCCUUGAGGCUGCCCAAAUUGUGUUGGCCUUUGGUCGUUGUUGGUUGUGCCAAUGCAGCCACUCUAUUUGUUCAUAGAUUUUGCAGAUGCUAGUUUUUAUCUCCGCUGACUUGUUAAUGCAUGUGCAGCAAAUCUGAUUAAUUACAGCACAGAUGCCUCCUGUUCAGUCAGGAGAUAAUCUAGUGCCAGAGGGUGAUUGAAGACUAUUCCUACAAGAGAAUUAUGUUGGUUUGGGAGGUCCUGUAGAGUGUCUGCAGUGGUUAACAUAAAAAACUCAAAGGUUGAUGUCAGGUUGCAUGUGGUUACCUUGUGAUAGGUGAAACCUCCCCAGGGUGUAAAAAGUUCCAUCCUGGCCCUUAUUCCUGCUAGUAUAAGCCCAGUUGCCAUUUUUGUUCUUUUUAAUUUUAAAAUUUUUGAAAUAUUAUAUACAGAGAUCCAAAGUUGGGAUGUAGGGACCUGGCCUAAUGCACUUUGUUCAGUGAACUGCACUUGUGGAUUGAGCCUAAGGAAGGGACCUGAAUGUAUCACCCCCCAGGGUUUGUCUCUGAAGAGACAAAGUUUUGUGGGUUUUUUUUUUUUGGGAUGACCACAGAUG